GACGAACGCUGGCGGCGUGCUUAACACAUGCAAGUCGAACGGCAAGGCCCUGCUUUUGUGGGGUGCUCGAGUGGCGAACGGGUGCGUAACACGUGAGUAACCUGCCCUUGACUUUGGGAUAACUUCAGGAAACUGGGGCUACUACCGGAUAGGAGCUCCUGCUGCAUGGUGGGGGUUGGAACGUUUCGGCGGUUGGGGAUGGACUCGCGGCUUAUCAGCUUGCUGGUGGGGGAGUGGCUUACCAAGGCUUUGGCGGGUAGCCGGCCUGGGAGGGUGACCGGCCACAUGGGGACUGAGAGACGGCCCAGACUCCUACGGGGGGCAGUAGGGGGGAAUAUUGCACAAUGGGCGGAAGCCUGAUGCAGCAACGCCGCGUGCGGGAUGACGGCCUUCGGGUUGUAAACCGCUUUCGCCUGUGACGAAGCGUGAGUGACGGUAAUGGGUAAAGAAGCACCGGCUAACUACGUG
rnacentral:rRNA from 1 species